rnacentral:rRNA from 1 species
AUGUCGGACGCGCCGGCGAGCCCGCCGGGCGGCAGCUUCGGCGGUGUUAGGGAGCAGGACAGGUUCCUGCCCAUCGCCAACAUCAGCAGCAUCAUGAAGAAGGCCAUCCUGGCCAACGGCAAGAUCGCCAAGGACGCCAAGGAGACCCUGCGGGAGUGCAUCUCGGUGUUCAUUGCUUCAUCGCCAGCGAGUGAGGCGAGUGACAAGUGCCAGAGGGAGAAGUGCAAGACCAUCAACAUCGAUGACCUGCUCUGGGCGAUGGCCACGCUAGGCUUUCAGGAGUACAUUGAGACCCUCAAGGGCAUAACAGUCUUAUGUGCGGCUUGUUAUUUUGUUACUAGCCUACUUUCUUGUGCUCCUGGUCGAGUCUUGUGGAGAAGCAGGGCGAAUCGGGCAUCAUCUUACUUGUGCCUAUGUGGUAACGCUGAUGGUUUCGGAGAUACUCGUAAAGAAGAGUUGUACAAUGCAAGUGCUACUCUUAAGGUACCAGAGGCGAUCGGCAUCCUCCUGGUGGCGCUGCUCCUCACAAAGUGUUGA